UUGUUUUUGGCAAAUUUUCACUUUUUAAAAAUAAAAAUUACUGGGCAAAAGUCCCUCAUAAUAUUUUGUUUAUACUUAUUAUUCUUCAAAUGGGAACAUGCAGCAUAUGUCUGGAAAAAAGGAGCAAUUACCAUAGCUUGGACUAUGUCACAGUGGAACUUUUGUCACCUGAUAUUUCAGUUCAGCAGUUCUUCAGAAGGAAGGGGCCAGACUACCAGACAAACUUCUGGGACCAAACUAGAAGCCCCUACAUCUAAUUUCGUUUAAAUAAAAGCAAGCAGCAUAUCAUUUUGUGUGACUUAAUAGUUUGUAUAAAUACUUACCUUCUAUACCACUGCACGGUUGCUGUCUUGCAAAUGAUCCACCCAUGUGGAUUCUCAAGGAGGAGUCAAGUCUAACAUUUACCACUCCCAUAGGAAGAAUCAAGAGACCAACAGGAACUAAAAGCUUUGCUACAUUGGCGUCGCCUUUCUGAUGAGCUGAAGGACACCCAGGAAGAACUGCAAAUAUUAAUGUCUGGCAUUUAUCAUUUUUUUCCUCCAUAAGUGGUUUUGACCGUAUAGGAAUAAAAUAAGCCAUACAAUCCCAA